AAGAUGGGCUGUUUGUGCUCUGUCCUUGUGAUGCUUUCUGACUGCAAUUCACGCAUCAACAAAAAAUACGAUGCCAUUGUCAUAACGGUUGUGAAAUUGGGGCAUCGCCCACUGAUUAAUAAACAAUGCUUCCCUGAGACACGCUGAGAUUCGUGAGGAGUAAUGCUAUCUAGGGCAGUGUGCCUCACCCUCACUCAGGUAAGAAUACGAUCCCUCUCUCUGGUGGGCCCAGAAACAUAUGCUCAACAAAUAAAAACCAAAAAAACAAAUGCCCGGUAGAGUAACCGAUUUCCCAAACACUACUCGUUAUCGUGUCGCUUAAUCAGAAGUAUGAAUCACCCACGCCCACAACGUUCACCAGUUAUUCCGAUUCCGAUUUCCCAAGCGAAGCUUUUUGCCGAUAAAAGCCCAUUAAUUAAUUAUUUAAUAAAAAAAAUAUCGAAAUCCAACCUGGUGUUUGGGGAUGGACAGAAGGUGAUGGUAUAAUCGGCAGACGCACAUGUGAACGUGCUUGUCUUGUCGUCGUAAGCGUAGCUGUAGGCGCGUGGGCACGCGUUCUUGAAUAUUUGCGAGUAUGACGAUGGCUUGCAGGUGUUCGGAGAUCCAUACGCGCCGCUGCAACAGUACCGCGGCGACCCAAACGCCUCGCACGCGCUCUUGCAUGCCACCCCUUCCCUCCCGUCAUCGCUCAUCACCUUUAGCUCUGAGGGACACGCGCCGUUCAGAUCCGACACACAGCCCGUGCUCGUGCAGUUGUCACCGGAACCACCUUGAGGAACCACCAUCAUAGGCACGUUAUAUCCGUCUACCAAGCUUACAUCGAAGAAAUCAAGCCCUCCGGCUCCGUCUAAAGUGAAUUCCGCCAACGUCGCCGGCGGGGAGGCUCCUUUCCCUCCGCAUUCCAUCUUGCCAGAGCCACAGUCACCGGUGACGCACGUAAACAUGCCGGUGGAAUCCUGGGAGCACUGAGUUCGGCCCCAGAAGCGGCCACCCCAAGAAGUGGGUGCGGAGAUGGUCUUAGACUCGCCGGUCUGAAGAACAAAACCGGUGGAAGAAAGAGGAGUGACGCCGGCGUUUGAAAGGAUGCCCGGCCAUACUGUGUAGCCGCAUUUGUUAACUAUGGUGAAUGUCGUUGAAAAAACCCCUGCAAACGGUGUUCCCACGUUAUUACAUUAAACCUCAUCUUUGCUGAAAAGAACAUAAACGAAAUCAGAAAUUUGUUUGUUUAA